CAACAGGGAUUGCCUCAGUAACGGCGAGUGAAGCGGCAACAGCUCAAAUUUGAAAUCUGGCUCCAGGGCCCGAGUUGUAAUUUGUAGAGGAUGCUUUUGGUGCGGUGCCUUCCGAGUUCCCUGGAACGGGACGCCAUAGAGGGUGAGAGCCCCGUCUGGUCGGACGCCAAACCUCUGUAAAGCUCCUUCGACGAGUCGAGUAGUUUGGGAAUGCUGCUCUAAAUGGGAGGUAUAUGUCUUCUAAAGCUAAAUACCGGCCAGAGACCGAUAGCGCACAAGUAGAGUGAUCGAAAGAUGAAAAGAACUUUGAAAAGAGAGUUAAAAAGUACGUGAAAUUGUUGAAAGGGAAGCGCUUGUGACCAGACUUGGGCUCGGUUGAUCAUCCAGGGUUCUCCCUGGUGCACUCUCCCGGGCCUAGGCCAGCAUCAGUUCGCUGCGGGGGAAAAGACGCCGGGAACGUGGCUCCCCCCGGGGAGUGUUAUAGCCCGGCGUGUAAUACCCUGUGGCGGACUGAGGUUCGCGCAUUCGCAAGG
rnacentral:rRNA from 2 species